AUUGAACGCUGGCGGAAUGCUUUACACAUGCAAGUCGAACGGUAGAGGGGGCAACCCCUCGAGAGUGGCGAACGGGUGAGUAAUAUAUCGGAACGUGCCCAGUCGUGGGGGAUAACGUAGCGAAAGUUACGCUAAUACCGCAUACGAUCUAAGGAUGAAAGCGGGGGAUCGCAAGACCUCGCGCGAUUGGAGCGGCCGAUAUCAGAUUAGGUAGUUGGUGAGGUAAAGGCUCACCAAGCCAACGAUCUGUAGCUGGUCUGAGAGGACGACCAGCCACACUGGAACUGGGACACGGUCCAGACUCCUACGGGAGGCAGCAGUGGGGAAUUUUGGACAAUGGACGCAAGUCUGAUCCAGCCAUUCCGCGUGCAGGAUGAAGGCCCUCGUGUUGUAAACUGCUUUUGUACGGAACGAAAAGGUCUCUCUUAAUACGGGGGGCUCAUGACGGUACCGUAAGAAUAAGCACCGGCUAACUACGUGCCAGCAGCCGCAGUAA
rnacentral:rRNA from 1 species